rnacentral:tRNA from 1 species
GUAGAUAUUAUUGAAAUUGGUAUACACGCCAGACUUAGGAUCUGGUGCUUCACGGCGUGGAGGUUCGAGUCCUCUCAUCCGCACCA